rnacentral:rRNA from 1 species
AGGACGAACGCUGGCGGCGUGCUUAACACAUGCAAGUCGAGCGGAAAGGCCCUUCGGGGUACUCGAGCGGCGAACGGGUGAGUAACACGUGACUAACCUACCUUUUAGUGGGGGAUAACCUAGGGAAACCUGGGCUAAUACCGCAUAAUACCUACGGGUCAAAGCAGCAAUGCGCUGAAAGAGGGGGUCGCGGCCGAUUAGCUAGUUGGCGGGGUAAUGGCCCACCAAGGCAGUGAUCGGUAUCC